GGCUUAGAGUUUGAUCAUGGCUCAGGAUGAACGCUAGCGACAGGCUUAACACAUGCAAGUCGAGGGGCAGCGGGGGUAGCAAUACCCGCCGGCGACCGGCGCACGGGUGAGUAACGCGUAUGCAACUUACCUAUCAGAGGGGGAUAACCCGGCGAAAGUCGGACUAAUACCGCAUGAAGCAGGGGCCCCGCAUGGGGAUAUUUGCUAAAGAUUCAUCGCUGAUAGAUAGGCAUGCGUUCCAUUAGGCAGUUGGCGGGGUAACGGCCCACCAAACCGACGAUGGAUAGGGGUUCUGAGAGGAAGGUCCCCCACAUUGGUACUGAGACACGGACCAAACUCCUACGGGAGGCAGCAGUGAGGAAUAUUGGUCAAUGGGCGUAAGCCUGAACCAGCCAAGUCGCGUGAGGGAUGAAGGUUCUAUGGAUCGUAAACCUCUUUUAUAAGGGAAUAAAGUGUGGGACGUGUCCUAUUUUGUAUGUACCUUAUGAAUAAGGAUCGGCUAACUCCGUGCCAGCAGCCGCGGUAAUACGGAGGAUCCGAGCGUUAUCCGGAUUUAUUGGGUUUAAAGGGUGCGUAGGCGGCCUUUUAAGUCAGCGGUGAAAGUCUGUGGCUCAACCAUAGAAUUGCCGUUGAAACUGGGAGGCUUGAGUAUGUUUGAGGCAGGCGGAAUGCGUGGUGUAGCGGUGAAAUGCUUAGAUAUCACGCAGAACCCCGAUUGCGAAGGCAGCCUGCCAAGCCAUGACUGACGCUGAUGCACGAAAGCGUGGGGAUCAAACAGGAUUAGAUACCCUGGUAGUCCACGCAGUAAACGAUGAUCACUAGCUGUUUGCGAUACACAGUAAGCGGCACAGCGAAAGCGUUAAGUGAU
rnacentral:rRNA from 1 species